CCGGAACUGACAUCAGCUCAACACAGACCGAAGACAGACAGCAAUACAAUCUGAUUAUAUCACAAGUGAGAAAACCACUACGCGAAAAAUGUAUCCACAAAGGACUGAAGACCACAUUAUCCACACAGGGCGUACGGAUCGCGGUUUCACAGAAAACCGCUACACUAAAAGGUUCCACACAGGGUUGAGGAUCGCGUCUCCGGGGCUGAGGAGUGUGGGUUUGAAUAAGUCGGGUUUGAAUAGGUCGGGUUUGAAUAGGUCGGUCUCAUGAUCAGCAUAUAUAUAUAAGUGUCGUCUCACUUCUCUGGUGCUCGGUUGCCUCCUGAAUGGUCAACUCGCGUAUCUGGAAAGCGAUAACGACGUUGGAAGACGAAGAUUUCAACACCACGGAAGAAAGGAGCUGCCGGGAUUGCUUUAGAGAGAUACUUUAAUUGACUUUAAUCGUGUAGAGCAUGUAUGCUGUUACAGCUUCGGUUAUUCUCCUUCUUUUUAAGAAAGUUUUAUGAAAAUGAAUGAAAACAUUUAUAUCUUUUUUGUUCGUUUGUUUCGUAAAAGUGUUAAUUGCGCAACACUAAGUUUUAACCAGGGCCGGUUCUGGAGGGGUAGCAACGGUAGCGUUUACACCCGGGACUGGUGUGGAGAGGGGCCCCCAAAAAUAAGAUAAAGUAAAAAAUAAAGAGUUCUCUCUGUUCCUGAAUAAGUGCAUUACUGAGUGUCUGCGAGCAAAGGAGAGCCUGAACGUUGCAACCUCCCUAUUGGCUGUUUAUUGGCUGUUUGUAAAAAUGUAUCAGUUGUUGCCCUUCCCAUGGGAAUCAUCGCGGACUCGAGAGACGAGACCUGAAGAGUUAGUUCGUUGGUAGCAGAACAAAAUGUCUGCACACAAAUCGGGUUUUCAGAAAAGGAAAGAAAAUAAACGCAGGGUCAAAAAUACAAAAAAGGAGGCAGAAAAUGCAAAACGAGUUUUAAGAGUGCAACAGUGGUCCCAAGGCCUUUGAUUGAGAAACAAUACACAAUGGAGCCCUCACAGCUCACCAAGAUACCAUACCUUUGGAUUCUUCGUGAAGUUCAACUAGAGCAAAAGCAGCUUCUGGAGGCCCUGAUGCAAGCACAGGCAGAAACCCAACAGAUGUUCCAGACCAUCACACAGAGAGUGGUAUCUGAAGCUCGCAAGAAAGCCGUCUUGCAGUGGUCGGAGCAACAUCGUCAGCGGUUUCGCUUCUUGAUCCUCAGUGAUGUCGGCAAUCCAUUUGCAUUUGCACAAUAGCUCCAAGACAACUGUCAGAAGUGGUUGCUGGCUGAGGCUCAGGAUGCCAGAAGGAUUGUAGAACAGGUGGUAAUGGAGCAGUUUGUUGCCCAACUUCCAGAAGUAACAGCCAAGUGGGUCCAGCACCAACAACCAGCAACACUAAAUGAGGCUAUCCAAUUGGCAGAGAAUCACCUGGGAUCUCUCUCUCUCCCCUUCAACAUCUAUCUGAGUGAAGCAAUGCUUCACGCAUGCUGGGUGAAGCAGUCAGAGCAACAUCGCCAGAGGUUCCGCUCCUUGACCCUCAGUGACGUCGGCCACCUAUUUGUGCUUGCACAACAGCUCCAAGACAACUGUGAGAAGUGGUUGCUGGCUGAGGAUCAUGACGCUGGAAGGAUUGUGGAACGGGUGGUAAUGGAGCAGUUUAUUAACCAGCUUCCAGAACAGACAGCCCACUGGGUUCAGCACCACCAACCGGCAACAAUAAAUGAGGCUAUCCAAUUGGCGGUGAACCACCUGCCGUCUUUUGCUGUCUCUGCCCCUUAACAUGUCCCCAGUUUGGGUUACUGGAAUAAAAAAAAAAACAGACGUAAUUCGUGUCAUUUAAUCAGCCUAAUAUUUUAUUUCGGACUCAAAAUCCUUAUUUCUACAAUAUCUAUUUUAUUAUUUACCUAUAAAACAGAGACAAACAUUUGAAUACCAUUAUUUAUGUAUGCGUGCAUUUAUUUUAUUUUAGUUCAUGGAGCAUAAACAAAGUGAAAACCUGUCUGAAAAAGGCCUUGUUACAGAACCCUAUUAUAUAUAUAUAUAUAUAUCAUCUCAUUAUCUCUAGCCGCUUUAUCCUUCUACAAGGUCGCAGGCAAGCUGGAGCCUAUCCCAGCUGACUACGGGCGAAAGGCGGGGUACACCCUGGACAAGUCGCCAGGUCAUCACAGGGCUGACACACAGACACAGACAACCAUUCACACUCACACCUACGGUCAAUUUAGAGCCACCAAUUAUCCUAACCUGCAUGUCUUUGGACUGUGGGGGGAAACUGGAGCACCCGGAGGAAACCCACGUGGACAACAUGCAAACUCCACACAGAAAGGCCCUCGCCGGCUCCGGGGCUCGAACCCGGACCUUCUUGCUGUGAGGUGACAGCGCUAACCACUACACCACCGUGCGGCCAAAAUAUAUAUAUAUAUAUAUAUAUAUAGUAAUGUUUAUCAGUUGCAUGAUAUUUAUUUUUUAAUUAGUGCAGUUAAAAGGUGUUAAAAUACUUAAACAGUUUCCUGUAACCACUUGGUUAAAACUUUUCUUGCAUGUCUUCACGGGUGUGUAUCUCUGUGUGUGCUGGAUGACGAUAACGUGCUGUAUUUUAAAUGCUUUAUUCAGAUCUUCCACAAUAAAUCCCGGUUGAAGCA